GAAACGACUGCUAAGACUGGAUAGGAAAUAAAAAGGCAUCUUUUUAUUUUUAAAAGACCUUUUUCGAAAGGUAUGCUUAAAGAUGAGCUUGCGCCACAUUAGUUUGUUGGUGGGGUAAUGGCCUACCAAGACGAUGAUGUGUAGCUGGACUGAGAGGUCGAACAGCCACAUUGGGACUGAGACACGGCCCAAACUCCUACGGGAGGCAGCAGUAGGGAAUUUUCGGCAAUGGAGGAAACUCUGACCGAGCAACGCCGCGUGAACGAUGAAGUAUUUCGGUAUGUAAAGUUCUUUUAUUGAAGAAGAAAAAAUAGUGGAAAAACUAUCUUGACGUUAUUCAAUGAAUAAGCCCCGGCUAACUAUGUGCCAGCAGCCGCGGUAAGACAUAGGGGGCGAGCGUUAUCCGGAAUUAUUGGGCGUAAAGGGUGCGUAGGCGGUUAGGAAAGUCUAUAAUUUAAUUUCAGUGCUUAACGCUGUCUUGUUAUAGAAACUACCUUGACUAGAGUUAGAUAGAGGCAAGCGGAAUUCCAUGUGUAGCGGUAAAAUGUGUAAAUAUAUGGAGGAACACCAGAAGCGUAGGCGGCUUGCUGGGUCUUGACUGACGCUGAGGCACGAAAGCGUGGGUAGCAAACAGGAUUAGAUACCCUGGUAGUCCACGCCGUAAACGAUGAGUACUAAGUGUCGGGAUAAAACUCGGUACUGAAGUUAACACAUUAAGUACUCCGCCUGAGUAGUACGUACGCAAGUAUGAAACUUAAAGGAAUUGACGGGACUCCGCACAAGCGGUGGAUCAUGUUGUUUAAUUCGAAGAUACACGAAAAAUCUUACCAGGUCUUGACAUGCUCUGCAAAGCUAUAGAAAUAUAGUGGAGGUUAUCAGGGACACAGGUGGUGCAUGGUUGUCGUCAGUUCGUGUCGUGAGAUGUUAGGUUAAGUCCUAAAACGAGCGCAACCCUUGUCGUUAGUUACCAGCACGUAAUGGUGGGCACUUUAACGAGACUGCCAAUUAAACAUUGGAGGAAGGUGAGGAUUACGUCAAAUCAUCAUGCCCCUUAUGAUCUGGGCUACAAACGUGAUACAAUGGCUGUUACAAAGAGUAGCUGAAGCGCGAGUUUUUAGCCAAUCUCAAAAAAGCAGUCUCAGUUCGGAUUGAAGUCUGUAACUCGACUUCAUGAAGUUGGAAUCGCUAGUAAUCGCGAAUCAGCAUGUCGCGGUGAAUACGUUCUCGGGGUUUGUACACACCGCCCGUCA
rnacentral:rRNA from 1 species